AUUGAACGCUGGCGGCAUGCCUUACACAUGCAAGUCGAACGGCAGCAUGAUCUAGCUUGCUAGAUUGAUGGCGAGUGGCGAACGGGUGAGUAAUACAUCGGAACGUGCCCUGUAGUGGGGGAUAACUAGUCGAAAGAUUAGCUAAUACCGCAUACGACCUGAGGGUGAAAGUGGGGGACCGCAAGGCCUCAUGCUAUAGGAACGGCCGAUGUCUGAUUAGCUAGUUGGUGAGGUAAAGGCUCACCAAGGCGACGAUCAGUAGCUGGUCUGAGAGGACGAUCAGCCACACUGGGACUGAGACACGGCCCAGACUCCUACGGGAGGCAGCAGUGGGGAAUUUUGGACAAUGGGGGCAACCCUGAUCCAGCAAUGCCGCGUGUGUGAAGAAGGCCUUCGGGUUGUAAAGCACUUUUGUCCGGAAAGAAAUCGCACUUACUAAUAUUAGGUGUGGAUGACGGUACCGGAAGAAUAAGGACCGGCUAACUUCGUGCCAGCAGCCGCGGUAAAAC
rnacentral:rRNA from 1 species